CAAAAUAAGACUUUAAAGUAAAGUAUUUCAUUUACACUGAAAUUGGCUUCGUGCAAUUCGAAUUAUUUUGA
rnacentral:tRNA from 1 species